ensembl:lncRNA
GGAAAUGUACAAAACGGUUUCAGAGAAGUCAACAUUUUUGCGAUUUCUAGUUAUUCUUCGUUUAGUCUUGAAGGCCUAAGGAUAUAGACAACAUGAAUAUUACUAACAAAAAAUGUCCCUGGCUUCUAUCCAAGUUUCAAAAAUGUAAGUGAUUCUAACACAAAAUGGUGAGGCCUGCUUUUCUAACAUUAGAAAAUUUGCUGAAGCCAUACAGCCUUCUUUGGUUUUCUUGCUAAUUACAUGGUUUUGAUUAAGAGCCUCAAAAAAAUAAUAAAUAUUUAAGAGAUCUGAAAGUUAAAUCUAAAAUGCAAGGUUAAACAUGCUAAUAAGAAUGCUGAAUCAGGAUGGAAUAUUCCAACAGUAAGUGAAUUAAGAAAAAAACAAAACAAAACAUGAAAAGGCUUAGUUAGUGUCAGACAUAGGAGGAAGACCUCCUUGGACCAGAAAAUGAGAUAGAAAUGUAAACCAGUAAGGCCCUCAUAAAGGAAAGGGAGCUAAACAUGAGAUGAGGAUCUGGAACCACGUUUUCCCCAAAAAUCUAGGUCUGGGGCUGAGCUAACUUGCCAAGGAAAAGUGGCCAAAACUGUUGCCAAUCCACUGACUGGAACUAGGACGUUUUAAAACCUGGGCUGGAGUUCCCGUCGUGGUGCAGCAGAAAUGAAUCUGACUAGGAGCCAUGAGGUUGAGGCUUCUAUCCCUGGCCUCACUCAGUGGGUUAAGUACCUGGCGAGGCCAUGAGUUGUGGUGUAGGUCACAGAUGCAGCUUGGAUCUGGUGUGGCUGUGGCUGUGGCUGUGGCUGUGGCUGGCAGCUACAGCUCCAAUUAGACCCCUAGCUUGGAAAUCUCCAUAUGCUGGUAUGGGGCUCAUAAACUCAACCAACAAGAGAGAAAUAUACUAACAGGAGAGAAACCAUAUAGUUUGUAUUAAUAUUUACAUGCACAGGAGUUCACAGUAAAGAUGCAAAACCCAGAGAAGCACUGAGACUUAACGACUUUUAACAAGGGAAGAUAAAUUAUGGGAAAGUGAUUAGGAAAUAUACGGAAGAAAUUAAUAAAGAUAAGUGCUCUUUUGGUAAGGUCUACUCAUACAAACUCAUCUCAGGUGCUGAAUCCAGUCUCUGGUGAUGAGUCCCUUUUCCCUUCCCUUCCUGGUGGGGCAGGGGCAUGACAGAGGGGGCACUUCCACAAAGAGAAAUGUGUGUCUCGUCUUUGGGCAAAUAAGGGGAGGGGGGGCAGAAUACUCUUCCUGUAUCUGUGGUUCUUAAAUUGCUUUCUCCUCAAAAUGAUCCUUAUGCCGAAGUGGCAUAUUUUGGGGUGAUCACAGCUGGUCGACCCAGCGGCUAAUUGGUCCCCGGGAUCGAGUCGCCCGGGACAGCUGGUCGACCCAAACGUCUACGAAGACUUCAUUCAACACUAGAGUCCCAGAGGAAACUGCAGAACCACUAGAUUGGGAAAAGAGGGUAUAGAUGAGGAAAGAGACAAAAGUAAAAAAAACAGAAAAAUUUUAAAACCUAUUAAGAAUGAAUCUGCAGAAACAACUGUAGAUGCUGUAAAGGAUUCUAAUGCGAAGAAAUAAAACCAAGUCAAUGUGCAAAACAUGAAUGACAAGAAAUAAAUUAAUUGUAUGGAACACUGACAAAAACACUACAGUUAAGUAUGUCGAGGAUGCUUAGAAUGGAAAGUGACAUUGUUCUUUCUUAACAAAGUAUCACUUCUGAUACAAAAAGGGGGGAAAUUAAAUAUGAAACAACAGAUUUGAAAAAAAAAUCGAUACAAAAUAAUGGAAAUAAAAUAGAAUCAAUAAAAUAAAAAUAAGUGAAAAACUCUUACUCCGAAGAUAAUAGUCCAAAAGAUAAUAGUAAUAAUAUUGAAAAAUUCAUUCCCAAGGGAGAGAAAAAAGACAUGAAUAAGCAGGUAAAAGAUAUGAAAGAUACUAACAGAUAUCUUUGGAGUUCCAAGAAUAAAAUAGAAAGAGAAAAUAGUUUUACAGUAUUUGAGAAAAUAGUUUUACAGUAUUUAACACUGGUGGAUAAACUGGGCAUGUGUGUUGGUCGCCACAAGGCUUAUAAAACAGGGUCAGAACGAAACCUGUUCAUGUCUGAGUGGAGGACAACUGACAAGAGCAGGAUUUUUAGGGACAAAGAGAAGCCCCUCAGGACCAAAUCUAAUCUCCUCCAUCUAGUUGCAAUUGCCUGAAAUUCCUUUAACUGGAGACAAAGCCUUUCAAUCUAUAGCUAGAGAUAAAAGGCUUAAAAUGCAAAUAACCAGAAGAAAGACUGCCUUCAGUCCUGCUCUGUUUAUUUGGAUGGAGUGUUCCAAAAAGUGAAGACACAAAGGAGAGAUCCGGGGUGAGCAGUUUCUGAAGAGAGAGGCUGCAGCAGCACUGCCUUCAGGCCCAGGCUCUCUGGGCCCCGACUCUGGACUUCAGAAGGCGCCACUCCAGCAGUUCUGCAGCUGUACUCAAGGGGUAAGGUCUUCUGUGGAGCCUAAGCUAUGUGCCUACCUGGAGCCCACACGUCCUCUCCAUCUUAGGAGGCGGCGGGGGCUGCCUUCAGCAAAGGCCUGAAUCUGCUUCCUGGGCCUGCAGCCUCUUCCUUGGGUUUACAGACAUGUCAUCUUUUGGGUGAUAUGUUUGCAAACCAAGGGCUGGGGGUGGCCAGGAUGCAGCUAUUGCUCUCCCCAUUUAUAACACGGGAAUAAGACUGUCUAUUCUAGGAUUGCCACAAUGAUUUAAAAAGUCAUUAUAUAUGAUUGAUAUAUAUAAGCAUUUAAUAAAUGCUCAUUCCUUACCUCUUAUUGAUAAUGCUAUUAUCAUAAAAUAAAUGUAUGUGCACUGAAUUAAGAAUAAUGUUCUAUUAUGUUCUGUUAUCUACUGUCUCAUGGCUCAGACACUGAACAAAACUGCUGUGCUGUAUACUCAAUGUUAACUGCAUUUUGUGCUGAUAUAUUUGGUUGCUUCCUUCCAUUCUAUCUUUUUCUUAUCUAUUAUAUGAAUUUUGGAAAUAAGAAAUGGCAAGCCUUAUGCAUUUUAAAAAGUGUACAUAAGAAACAGUUGAAUUCUCUGAAGGUUUUAAAAAAAAAUCUCCCUUCCUAGUGAUCAUUAAAGUGAUGUGCUAUAUCAAAUAAUCAAUGGUCUCAUUAAAAACAAGACAGUGGUCUUACAAAUAGUCUAUGAAGCUGGGUCCUUGAGUUUCAGUGGUGUAUGUCUCCAUAUUUAACUUCAUAUAAUUGGUAGGUAAACAAAGAAAAAAGAUUUUCAGCUAUGACAUUGAUUCCAAUUUAUCUCACUGUUAAUUUAAGAAGCCUGUUGGAGGCUUCAGAUCCAUUAAAAAACUACAUCCAAAUUAGAUCCUCAAACACACUAUGUAUCACUAGAUGACGCUUCACAUUCCUAUACUAGCCACUAUGAUUUCUGAGUGACACUGAUAAGGUCAAUAGCCAUGUGAAAGCUGGUUCUUAUUCUGCUCAAUCUGACUGAAGUAUAGGGGCAGAAACUGUAUUUUUAUGAUAUCACAAAUAAGGAGUUAACUAUCAAAACAAAAGCAACCCAAGGGCAGUGAGUCAUCAGAGAAUCUCUUUCUUGAUCUAGUCUGCAUAUGUAACUGACAACUCAUCAAAAUGUUUAAAUAUAUAUGAACGAAGUCAGGUUACAGAGUGACUUGAAGAUUUUAAUGAGUACAAAUUCGCUGAUUUGCUUUUUAUUUAUUUAUUCAUUUGUUGAAUUUUCUAGGGCCACACCUGUGGCACAUGGAGGUUCCCAGGCUAGGGGUCCAAUCGGUGCUGCAGCCGCCAGCCUAUGCCACGGCAAUGUGGGAUCCGAGCUGUGUCUGUGACCUACACUACAGCUCACGGCAACGCUGGGUCCUUAACCCACUGAGCGAGGCCAGGAAUCAAAUCCGCAACCUCAUGGUUCCUAUCAGAUUUGUUAACCACUGAGCCACAAUGGGAACUCCCUGAUUUGCUUUUUAAAAGCAAUUCCUAAGGAGGAAAAAGAGCAUUUUCCAAUCCCCUGGAGGCAUUUGAGAUUUUUUUUAGUAUUGGUUUCAGCCUCUAGUAGAGAUAUUUUUAUUUACAUAUUUAUUCCUGUUAAAGGAUUAUCUGAGUUUGUAAUUUUACUGGUUGCAUAACAAAAUCAAGGGCUAGCCACUGUCAGUGGUUCCCUGGAAGACAUGGAGAAGUUAGGACAGACAUACAUUUGCAACAGCUAUCACUGCCUUGAGACUCCUGAUCCUUCACGGAAGCCAUGCAUCAUGGAAAAUUUUUUUCCAAGUGAAUAAAAUGGUCAUUUUACAGAAACGUCACAGAGGCCAAUGGAGUGAUAACAGGAAAGGGAGACUCAUACUUAACUCUGGUGCUCUAGCUCUAAGGUCUGAAAGUUAGUUUAAAUAUCUUGUUUAUUCUUGCCUGCUAGGACUUUAAGAGGUCAAUCCCCUUAAAGACUGAGAUCCCAGCAGCUGACCUUCUAGCAAAAAAUGCUUAUUAUGAAGACAUUGCUUCCACUUUUCCUCUUCAAUUUGAAAAGUGAAUGUUUAGCUUUCCCAUCUUUCUUAGAUGAAUAUUAUGACCGAACAAACAUGCAUGGAAUAGAAAAGAUAUACGGCACCUCGUAGCCUGUCCCACCCAAGUCUUGUACUGGGAAUAAACCACAUGACCCUUCCUUCGGACCCAGCUGGGUGGAUGGCGACGAAUGCUUAAUCCAGGUCCUAACCUCUGACCAGUCCACUCAACUACCACUAUACGCAGUCUGUAGUGGGGAAUUUGUUUAUAUCUGUAAUGUGGAACAGUAAGUACUCCUUUUGGAGACAAGUACAAUAAGCACACGGAAAGCUGUAGAGAAAAGGAGGGAUGAAGGCAGCAGACACAAAGAGACAGACCAAGUAUAAAAGAGUGUUCCACAGAAAUGAAGGCCUUGACCUCUAUUCCUGAGGCUUUCUACCUCCCAUAAAACCUGGCAACAGUUCGAGUCCUACACUUAGUACGAAUCACUCUUUACUUGAGCUAGCUGCAGUAGCUUCGGUAAAGAAAACUCCCACUGAGAAUAACAACAGCAAACACAUUCGUUAUUACUGACCUGCUAUGCCUAUAAAAUGGGGGAAUUUGAACUAGAAAAUUCAAACUCCUCGAUCUCUAAGUGCAAUCAAGUUUUAAUUUUAUAUAACUACCAAAAGGUAUGUGAAAAUAUCUUCCCAUUGCUUUCUACUCUUG